GAUGAACGCUGGCGGCGUGCCUAAUACAUGCAAGUCGAGCGGACGGACGAGAAGCUUGCUUCUCUGAUGUUAGCGGCGGACGGGUGAGUAACACGUGGAUAACCUACCUAUAAGACUGGGAUAACUUCGGGAAACCGGCGCUAAUACCGGAUGAUAUUUUGCACCGAAUGGGUCAAAGGAGAGAUACGGUCUUGCUGUCACUUCUAGAUGCAUCCGCGCUGCAUUAGCUAGUUGGUAAGGUAACGGCCUACCAAGGCAACAAUGCAUAGCCGACCUGAGAGGCUGAUAGCCGACAUGAGAACUGAGACGCGGCCCAUACUCCUACGAGAGGCAGCAGUAGGGAAUCUUCCGCACUGGGCGAGAGCCUGACGGAGCAACGCCGCGUGAGUGAUGAAGGUCUUCCGAUCGUAAAACUCUGUUAUUAGGGAAGAACAUAUUUGGAAGGAACUGUGGACAGCUUGACGGUACCGACUCAGAAAGCCCCGGCUAACUACGUG
rnacentral:rRNA from 1 species